rnacentral:rRNA from 1 species
GAUUAACGCUAGCGGCAGGCAUAAUACAUGCAAGUUGAACGAGAUAAGUUUUAGCAAUAGAACCUUGAAAGUGGCGCACGGGUGCGUAACACGUAUGCAACCUACCUUUUACUGGGGAAUAGCCUCUCGAAAGGGAGAUUAAUACCCCAUAAUAUAUUGAUAAGGCAUUUUAUUAAUAUUAAAGUUACGGCGGUAAAAGAUGGGCAUGGGGGUGAUUAGGUAGUUGGUGAGGUAAUGGCUCACCAAGCCGACGAUCAGUAGGGGGUCUGAGAGAAUGUCCCCCCACACUGGUACUGAGACACGGACCAGACUCAUACGGGAGGCAGCAGUAGGGAAGAUUGGACAGUGGGCGCAAGCCUGAUCCAGCCAUGCCGCGUGCAGGAUGAAGGCCCUAUGGGUCGUAAACUGCUUUUGUACGGGAAGAAACCUCACUACGUGUAGUGAGUUGACGGUACCGUGAGAAUAAGGAUCGGCUAACUUCGUGCCAGCCGCCGCCGUAA